rnacentral:RNase_P_RNA from 1 species
GGCGAUCGUGCGGCAGCGGCGUAUAAUACGCUGAGGAAAGUCCGAGCAUCGCAGAGCAGGGUAGUUGAUAACGUCAACCGAGGGCGACCUCCGAGCCAGUGCAACAGAGAUAUACCGCCUGCAAAAGCAGGUAAGGGUGGAAAGGCGAGGUAAGAGCUCACCGGAGCGGGUGUGAGUCCGCUGCCAUGUAAACCUUACCCGAUGCAACGCCAAUGGCAGUGCUACAGCUAAUGGCUGCUCGUCAGGCUGUAAACUGUAGGCGGCUGGAGCCGCGCGGCAACGUGCGGUCGAGAUAGAUUGCCGCACUUGACAGAACUCGGCUUAUAGGUCGGCUCGC